UACAGAGGGUGCAAGCGUUAAUCAGAAUGACUGGGCGUAAAGGGCGUGUAGGUGGUUGACUAGGUUUGAUGUGAAAUCCCCGGGCUUAACCUGGGAAUGGCGUCGAAAACGGGUUGACUAGAGUGAGAGAGAGGGUUGUGGAAUUUCCGGUGUAGCGGUGAAAUGCGUAGAUAUCGGAAAGAACAUCAGUGGCGAAGGCGACAACCUGGCUCUUAACUGACACUGAGGCGCGAAGGCGUGGGGAGCAAACAGG
rnacentral:rRNA from 1 species